UUAGCCUCUCCUCGCCCGGGGGGGUCCGGGUUCUCGUCUCCAUCCUAAUAUUUGCUGCUUCCUGCGACGCCUCCAGCUCUCCCCAACAUCUGAGACCACCAGCACCUCCAACACCGCCCUGAACACCACCCUGAACACCGCCCUGAACACCGCCCUGAACACCACCCGACAAACCACCUCCAACACCACCGCAGUGCCCUCGGAGGUGGAGGUGCUGGAGGAGGACGGAGGCGGCUUGCUGGGUGCGGGCCUGGUGGCUCUCCUCUCCAUGCUGUCGGUCGUGGCUGUGCUGUCGGUGCUGGUGGCGCUGAGCCGUACUCUGGGCUUCCUGACACCCCCGUUUGAGCGGCUGGACGACGUGCCGCUGGAGAGCCCGAAUGAAGAAUCACCGUUUGCACAUAAAUAUUAAAGAAAUGCAUUUUUCAUACUCAUGUUAAUAUAAAGUUUAUAUUCAUGUAAAAUGAAGUUCAUAUUUAUGUUAACUUAAUUUAAAGUUCAUAUUGAUGUCAAUAUGAAGUUCAUAUUCAUGUUCAUAUAGAGUUCAUAAUCAUGCUAAUAUAAAGUUAAUAUUAAUGUUAUUAUAAAGAAUAUGAAGUUCAUAUUCAUAGAAAGGGAAAUUUGUGAUGAAACUUCAAUCGCAUGCUUCAUUUGCUACACAACUCAAGAUACAAGGUUCCCUGACUUAUUUGUUUAAUUAAUUCAUGUCCAUUCAUGCACCAUAAUUUAUCUUUAAAAGUUAAUUAAUUUUCAUAAAUUCAAUUGAAACUCAGGAAACCUUUGCAGGUAUUUUGAGGUAAUUAGCUGAUUAGAGUGUGACUUCUUGAGUCUCCAAUAUUGAACUGCUUCACAAUAUUCUUAUGGUGUUCGGGGUUUUCACGA
ensembl:lncRNA